CCGAGUUUACAACUCCCAAACCCCCAUGUGAACGUUACCAAACUGUUGCCUCGGCGGGUCAUUCAUGCCCCGGGCGCGUCGCAGCCCCGGACCAAGGCGCCCGCCGGAGGACCAACCAAAACUCUUCUGUAUGUCCCUCGCGGACUUUUAUAAUUCUGAACCAUCUCGGCGCCCCUAGCGGGCGUUUCGAAAAUGAAUCA
rnacentral:misc_RNA from 2 species